rnacentral:tmRNA from 2 species
GGGGCUGCUUGGUUUCGACAGGGAGGGAAGAGCUAUAACUGCAAGCCGAGGCGCUUUGUCCUCGUUAAUCUCGAAGCAAGCCAUUAAACGGCAAAACAACCAAAACUCAGAGCACUUUUGCUCUGGCUGCCUAAUUACUAGUUAGUUAGUCAACCGUUCCAAAAUACCCGUUUAUCCCGUGGGGCUUGAGGAACGAAAACACAAAAACGGGGUUGCAACCGGGCCAGAGGUGGGUAGCCCGGUGUAAGUCACUCACUUGGGUUGGCAGACGUUCGCUUAAACCGGCUGACAACCGACAUUAAAAGUAAGACAAGCUUGUGGACGAGGUUAUAGAGAAGAACUUUUUGGACGCGGGUUCGACUCCCGCCAGCUCCAUUC